rnacentral:misc_RNA from 1 species
GAAAUGCGAUAAGUAGUGUGAAUUGCAGAAUUUAGCGAAUCAUCGAAUCUUUGAACGCACAUUGCGCCCCUUGGUAUUCCAUGGGGCAUGCCUGUUCGAGCGUCAUUUCAACCCUCAAGCACUGCUUGGUGUUGGGCGUUUGUCCCGCCUACGCGCGUGGACUCGCCUCAAAGUCAUUGGCAGCUGUUCCCCUUAGGCUCGUAAGCGCAGCACAGUCGGCGCCCGGAGCUCUGGUGGGAUGGCGUCCAGCAAGCUAUAUUUUCAGGCUUGACCUCGGAUCAGGUAGGGAUACCCGCUGAACUUAAGC